GUGCUAACACAUGCAAGUCGAACGAUGAAGCUGGAGCUUGCUCUGGUGGACUAGUGGCGAACGGGUGAGUAACACGUGAGUAACCUGCCCUUGACUCUGGGAUAAGCGUUGGAAACGACGUCUAAUACCGGAUACGAGCUCCAGCCGCAUGGCUAGGAGUUGGAAAGAAUUUCGGUCAAGGAUGGACUCGCGGCCUAUCAGCUAGUUGGUGAGGUAAUGGCUCACUAAGGCGACGACGGGUAGCCGGCCUGAGAGGGUGACCGGCCACACUGGGACCGAGACACGGCCCAGACUCCUACGGGAGGCAGCAGUGGGGAAUAUUGCACAAUGGGCGCAAGCCUGAUGCAGCAACGCCGCGUGAGGGACGACGGCCUUCGUGUUGUAAACCUCUUUUAGCAGGGAAGAAGCGAAAGUGACGGUACCUGCAGAAAAAGCACCGGCUAACUACGUGCCAGCCGCCGCGGUAAUUCAA
rnacentral:rRNA from 1 species